rnacentral:rRNA from 1 species
CCCGCCAUCGUGCGGGUCUUGGUUGAGACUGGAGCUCGGUCCUCACCCCGUGAGGUUCUGGGUUCCGAUUCAGCCGAAUCUGAUUGGUUCCGCCCUUCGUCAGUGGGGAGCGGGGCCGUUUCGUUUGUCGGUUGCCUGACCGCUUUGGUGGUUGGGUGCCAUGUAGACAUUAACGGAGAGUUUGAUUCUGGCUCAGGACGAACGCUGGCGGCGUGCUUAACACAUGCAAGUCGAACGGUGACGACCAGCUUGCUGGUCUGAUCAGUGGCGAACGGGUGAGUAACACGUGAGCAACCUGCCCUUCACUCUGGGAUAACCACGGGAAACGGUGGCUAAUACCGGAUACGAGACGUACCUGCAUGGGUGGCGUCUGGAAAGAUUUAUCGGUGAAGGAUGGGCUCGCGGCCUAUCAGCUUGUUGGUGGGGUAAUGGCCUACCAAGGCGACGACGGGUAGCCGGCCUGAGAGGGCGACCGGCCACACUGGGACUGAGACACGGCCCAGACUCCUACGGGAGGCAGCAGUGGGGAAUAUUGCACAAUGGGCGCAAGCCUGAUGCAGCGACGCCGCGUGAGGGAUGACGGCCUUCGGGUUGUAAACCUCUUUCAGCAGGGAAGAAGCGAAAGUGACGGUACCUGCAGAAGAAGCGCCGGCUAACUACGUGCCAGCAGCCGCGGUAAUACGUAGGGCGCAAGCGUUGUCCGGAAUUAUUGGGCGUAAAGAGCUCGUAGGCGGUUUGUCGCGUCUGCUGUGAAAACCUGAGGCUCAACCUCGGGCUUGCAGUGGGUACGGGCAGACUAGAGUGCGGUAGGGGUGACUGGAAUUCCUGGUGUAGCGGUGGAAUGCGCAGAUAUCAGGAGGAACACCGAUGGCGAAGGCAGGUCACUGGGCCGCAACUGACGCUGAGGAGCGAAAGCAUGGGGAGCGAACAGGAUUAGAUACCCUGGUAGUCCAUGCCGUAAACGUUGGGCACUAGGUGUGGGGCUCAUUCCACGAGUUCCGUGCCGCAGCAAACGCAUUAAGUGCCCCGCCUGGGGAGUACGGCCGCAAGGCUAAAACUCAAAGAAAUUGACGGGGGCCCGCACAAGCGGCGGAGCAUGCGGAUUAAUUCGAUGCAACGCGAAGAACCUUACCAAGGCUUGACAUACACCGGAAACUUCCAGAGAUGGUUGCCCCGCAAGGUCGGUGUACAGGUGGUGCAUGGUUGUCGUCAGCUCGUGUCGUGAGAUGUUGGGUUAAGUCCCGCAACGAGCGCAACCCUCGUCCUAUGUUGCCAGCGGGUUAUGCCGGGGACUCAUAGGAGACUGCCGGGGUCAACUCGGAGGAAGGUGGGGAUGACGUCAAAUCAUCAUGCCCCUUAUGUCUUGGGCUUCACGCAUGCUACAAUGGCCGGUACAAAGGGCUGCGAUACCGCGAGGUGGAGCGAAUCCCAAAAAGCCGGUCUCAGUUCGGAUUGGGGUCUGCAACUCGACCCCAUGAAGUCGGAGUCGCUAGUAAUCGCAGAUCAGCAACGCUGCGGUGAAUACGUUCCCGGGCCUUGUACACACCGCCCGUCAAGUCACGAAAGUCGGUAACACCCGAAGCCGGUGGCCCAACCCUUGUGGAGGGAGCUGUCGAAGGUGGGACUGGCGAUUGGGACUAAGUCGUAACAAGGUAGCCGUACCGGAAGGUGCGGCUGGAUCACCUCCUUUCU